CAGGACAACAGUAAGUGGGGUUUAUUUAUAUACUUGUGUCAGAACUGGAUGUAAGCUUAUAUUUAAGUUGACAUAUGCAUAAAGGGUCAGCAGUUGUGUAUGAGGUGUCAUGAAUUAAUCUGAGUGGGUUCAGACUCUUUGCAAAUGUCUGUUUAAUCAACAUUAUUAUUAUGCAUUAAUUUCUUUCAGUCCCAGAGACGAUUAAAACUCUUCUGGAGAGAGAGUUCAGCAGAUGGGAAAGUAUCAUCAUAGAUGGUGUUCAGGAAAGUUUCCAGGACAUUAAAUCAUCAAUUGAGCUCUCUCAGGCUGAGAAGAGGCAAAAGUCAGUGGAUGCUGCUGAGAGAUGGCUACAGAACUGCUACCAUUAUGUUCAACAUACUAUUGAUAAAAUACAAGAUCCAGAAUCAGGGAUCAUUAAAUAUACAGUGAUUCCUUGAUGAUUUACAGUUUGAGUGUACAUAUGCAAUGUAUGAACAUAAUUUUAUUAAGAUUUAAUAUGCAAAUUUUUUUCAACACUAACACACAUUCUCAAAACUUUUCACACAAAUCCAAGAAUUGCACAGAAAAUGCAAAAUGAAGCACUGCAUUCAAAAUACCACAAACACAUCUCAAAAGCAAACAUUUGCAAACACCUUUGCCAUAAUGUUAAUUCCUGUUAGUUUUUUGUGUGUUGCAUAGAGAAUUGUGUGUUGUGUUUCGCAAAAAGUGUUUUACGAAAUUGAAAACUGAGUCAACUGCUGAUGAUUAGUGUGUGGUUUUGUAGAUUUGGUGAGUGCUUCUGCUGUUUGAGUGUCAGCUUUCAGAAACUGUGUGACAAGGAAAGAUUUAGUGUGUAAGCAGUUGAAAAAAACUCUAACAUCCCUGACUUACUUCACAUGCAUAAUUGCAAGUUGCAGCUGUAUUUUAAAUCGGAAAUGUAAAUCUAUAUAGUCCUACAGGAACAAAUCUAGAGUUUACAGUCAUAUUCUUUCUGUGUCACACGUGUUGGUGUGUUAAGCAAAGCACAUGACGAAAGCGAGUUCUUUUAAUUAUCCAUAGGGGAAAAGGGCACAACCAAAUACAAAUCCAAAUGAUCUAACAUCAAACAUCAGCAAACUCAAUUGCGGACAAAGGAAUACUGGGGAACACAGACUAUAAAUAGAGAACGUAAUCAGAGGAAAACAGAAACAGGUGUGGGGCUAAUUAAUUAACUAAACAAGAACAGGAACAUGGACAAAUAAGUAAACUAAGUGAGAACAGAAGUCCAUAACUGAGACAGUUUGCCCCCUCUCGGAACGGUGCGUCCUCACACCGACAGAGAUAGUCCAGAGGAAGUAGGGUGGGGGUUCAGGAGGUGGGCGUGGAGCAGGCAAGGGGCAGGCAAUGGAGAGUCCACAAACGAAGGCCAGUGUUUAUAAAUGGACCAUAAUAAUCAAAUAACGAAAUCUUUUAAAGCACAAGGGGGAAAGUCAAAAUUAAGCAAUAGCAGGCUGGUCAAAGGUAAACAAAAUUAAAUCAUGUUUCUUAAAAGAGAAACAGAUAAGGAUGUGAUUAAAUCAGUCCAGUCACAAAUAGCCUCGAUUAUUUCAUCUGAAAUUCAAAUUGUAUGUUAAACCUGGAAAUAAACUGAAGUUGGAUGAAACGAAACGCUGUUGUUUAUAAUGAGUAAGAAAAGCCAUUGAAACAAAAGCUUUGAUAUUACAGUAGAUUUCUGUUUCUUUUAUAGUUCUAAAGACAUUUAAACACUGGCACAUAUGUUUUCUGGGAAGCUGCUUUA
rnacentral:lncRNA from 12 species